AAAAUGGAUGGAUGGAUUUUAAACCCAAUUUAAAACCCAAUUUGCGCGGCAGCUGUUCUCUGGUGUUGUUUACAAUCAUGCCAAAUAUGAAUGAUGAAAAGAAAUCAAAAUGAUGCCUCAUUAUCAUGAAAAAUAUCAUUUUGCUGACGAAUGACAGGAGACUCUAAAAAAAGUGCGGAUUAAGCACUGACGGAAAUGCGUUUUCAUCUGCCAAUGUAAUCGUCAUUAACGAGGUCAAAUACCGACGGACGUCUCAGAAGAAGGAGAAGAAGGCAAUAACGACAAAGAGCAUUUAUAGAUAGGAAUAAGAGUGCAAGCUACCUGGAUAAAUAUAUCGCUAGAUAUCGCCACGAUAACUAGGCACUCUGAAGCGGCCACGCCGGCCUGUAGCUCCGGUCCACAUGCUGGCUGUCAGAUCAGGCUUUAAAAAAAAUAAAUAAAAUAAAAUAAAAAUCCCCUCCCUUGCCCUUCUGCCUAUCUCUGUGACAUGCGCACACUCCGAGGUGACACGAGAUGCUCUUCAGAGACCACAUGAGCUUCGGUCCACGUUAGCCGUCAAGUCGGACUGAAAAAAAGAAAUAAUGAACCCCCCCCCCCACCCCUCUCCUUGCUCUUCCGCCUUUCUCUAUGUCACAUGUACUCAAGGCCGACAAUGAGGCACCCUAAAGCAGCCGCACCAGAGGACUAUUAGUGAAUAAAAUGUGUUCCAUUUAGAAAUCCGUGAGGAGCUGUGCAUUACUGUAAAAGCAUGUUGCCUGGUGAUGUGGCUCCAAAAGCUUUACUGACAGCCGACUACUGUGUGCGUGCGUGUGUGACUUGUAUUCUAAUUGUCAUAGACCCCCUCCCACCCCCAAAAAAAACAACAAAAAAAAAAAACUCCACCAACCAUCUGGCGUGACCAGGAAGUAAGUGUGUCAGCGUGACAAGCACAAGAGAAGCGAGAGCGGCGACGUGUCGUGCUUCGUUGCGUCCACACAAAAUAUUUACAUACUAAUUCGCCGGCCUUGUGUCAUGUGGGAAUUGGGCUGUUGUUUACAGGGCGGCUGCGGUGGAGCGGAGAACAAAUAGUUCAUCGCAACUCUUAAAAAGGAGGGUUCCUCCCCCUCCACCCCCCCCCACCCCCACCAACUUCUCACAUUUUGUCCCAUCUCAUUGCCCUAACUCAGAUCUUACGUAACGAGAUGCUGUCACUUUGUUUUUGCCUCCUCUGAGCUCGACGGUGGCGCCUGAAAAGGCUUCGAGGGUUCAACAACCCACUCGGAAUAUAAUCCUGUGUGGGAUUUGAAAAGCAUCAAAGGAGCCUCAUUAAAAAGUCUAAUGGAGGAAGGAGCACUUGACCAAGAAGAAAGGCACCAAUAGCCACUGCCGUGUGCCUCGAUUUUCAUCCAUUGUGGAUUGGUCUGGAUCGAAACGUAUCUCAGGUGUUGACUCAAUUGUAAUCUGGCGAAGCAUCCACGUUAGUUUCAAGUCAAAGACAAGAACACGGCUCGCCACCCGCUGACCUGUCAC